rnacentral:lncRNA from 13 species
GUCCUGUUGAGGUCCUCCAGGACUGCGUCCUUGAAGACAUAGAGGACGAGGAGCCCCUGACCACCACGGCAGCCCCAAGUCUCUAAUGCCAGUAGGUUUGUGUACGCCCAUCUGACCCCAGCCACGUAAGUAAUCAUUAAUCAAAAUGUCACUGUGCCACAUGACUGUACUUGAUAACAGCUGCUUACGUUAUUAAAAUGUGAAGGAUAACUGAUAUACAUUUAAGUCACGGAUACUACGCGGUCACUUCUCUAUGUUGCCUCCUUGAAGCAUCACAGUCACUUUGAGGCAUAAUUAGUUUGGUUCUAUUCAUUAUACAGAUGAGGAAUGUGAGUCUCAGUUAAGUAAAUUAUUCACGAGACACGCCCACAUCUGGAUCUCUCUGACACCACAGGCUAAUCUGUAAACGAACGUGCUGCACUGCCUGUAGUGACGAAGUAGACUUGCUGUAAAGUGAAGUUUGCUUCCGCAGCUGGGCAUGUGAGCUUAGCGGGGUUGCUGUGACCCAUUGCUUUAUGGGUUUGAGAUUGGUGUUGCAGAAACCCAGUUGGAGAAGCUCUUGGCUGAGGGAGUGAAAAAUGACUGAAAGGAUAGAUGAGUGCAUUUGAAGGAUCAUGCUUCCAUGGAGCAUGUUGUCGAGCCUCUUGGAAUAAGAACAGAUACAAUCAAACAGUCACCCUGUCCUCAGUUGUACCAUUCAUUAAGCAUCAGCAUGCCAUGAAGUGCGCUCCCUGUUGUGUUGCGGGGACAUAAAAUCUAUCCCAGGCUUCUGUGGCCGCCCAUUCUGUCCCAUCCAGUGAAGCUCCGUUCUGUUCAUUGGUCUACAUCUCGGUUUCGGUAUUAGUACCAUGCCGUUUUGAGUACUGUAGCAGUUGACUAAGUUUCUGAUCAGGUUUUCAGUAUUCAUUGAGAGAAGCAGAACCUCAUGCGAACAAUCCACAGCACACCAUGCCCUCAUACUGCUUUGUUUCUGUGUUGCAGGUAGUGCCGAUGUUCCAUCUGAAGUGUGACUGGGCUGGGGCGUCAUUCACAGCUGGAUCAUCAUCCACGGCUGAGUCAUCAUCCACCGCUGGGGCAUCAGGGACAUCAUCCACAGCUGGGCAUCAUCCACAGCUGGAUCAUCAUCCAGGGCUGAGUCAUCAUCCACUGCUGGGGGCGUCAUCCACUGCUGGGACUUUGUCCAUGGCUGGGGCAUCGUCCACUUCUGGGGCAUCGUCCACUGCUGGGACUUCGUUCAUGGCUGGGACAUCAACCACUGCUGGGACUUCAUCCACGGCUGGAGUAUCGUCCACUGCUGGGGCAUCGUCCACUGCUGAGACUUCGUCCACCACUGCUGUGACAUCGUCCACGGCUGGGGCAUCCACUGCUGGGGCAUCGUCCACUGCUGGGGCAUCGUCCACUGCUGGGACUUUGCUUAUGGCUGGGGCAUCGUCCACUGCUGGGACUUCGUCCAUGGCUGGGGCAUCAUCCACUGCUGGGACUUCGUCCACGGCUGGGGCNNNNNNNNNNNNNNNNNNNNNNNNNNNNNNNNNNNNNNNNNNNNNNNNNNNNNNNNNNNNNNNNNNNNNNNNNNNNNNNNNNNNNNNNNNNNNNNNNNNNNNNNNNNNNNNNNNNNNNNNNNNNNNNNNNNNNNNNNNNNNNNNNNNNNNNNNNNNNNNNNNNNNNNNNNNNNNNNNNNNNNNNNNNNNNNNNNNNNNNNCACUCCUGUGUACAGUGAGUGAGGAGGGAAAGACAGGAGCCCUGGGGAUGGAUCAGAUGCCACUCAGCUUCCUGACACUGCUAUGGAGCCUCAGCUUUCCGAAGCCACCUUACAUCUCACAAAGCCUUCACGGGAGCAGAGCCACUGCAUUUAAGAGCUGUGACCUGCCUGUUCCUGGGCCCCUCUGCCCUGAGUUCUCACAGCUGACCCGGUGGGGUGAAGGUGUGUCCUAGCAGGUCAGUGUUGCCACCCACAUCUACCCAGUGGGCACCCUGAUGACCAAACUCCCAUGGAGGCUCUGAGUCAUUUUCCAGCUGGGAGAGGCCAUCUCAGGAGUAUCCCUCACUGUCCCACACUGCCCUCAGACCCCAAAGCCUUCCUGCCUCUGACACACCAGGGCAUCUCAGGUGGAGAGCCUUGGCUGUCCUGAUCCUCCUUUCUGAAGCUGCUCACGAUGUCAGAGAGGGGCCAGGGCAGCCGGGAAUCCUAAAGGGGGCGUGGGUUGAAGGGAGGUCACUUGUUCCUGCCAGCUGUGCCGGCAGAGCAUGUGUUGCACUUUCUAUCUGUCGGUGUUUCCUGGGACCUAGAAGCAGAGUUUACUCACACUAUUAACACUCUCAUCAUCAGCCACCUAAAGGCCUCUCUUUCAUAUUUUUCUUUAUCACCAUUUCAAAUCAUGUUUUCCUCCAUCUCUUAGUCACCAACUCAAGUGUAAAUCAUACGGUUCCACUCCAACUUCCAAAUCAUCUCUACAGAUACUUAAAGAAUUCAUAGUGUGCUUUUAUUUCUUAAGCAAAUAAUUUUUCCUCUUUAGGCCUCAUCUGGUUUAUUUUUUAUUUUUUCUAAGAUUUAAACUCAGACUUAAACAUUUAGUUUUAUCCAUGUGUGCAUAUGAACCAUUUCUGUUACUUCCAACGGGUCAGCAUUGUGUAAACCAUAUUUUAAUUUAAACCCUGUGCUGAGCAGCCAGGUUGCUGCCGAUACCGCGUGACCAGUGAUGACUUCCUCCUGCGCAUUUCCCUCCAUCUCUGAACCACUGUGGACUAGCCGUAUGGAGGGUGCACACUUAAUGUUACUAUGUGCUGAGGGAUGUCCUGCAGGAUGGCUGAGCUUGUAAAUAUCCCAGUUGUAAGAGCUGAAGCUCCACAGCCUGACUGAAAAUUUAUUUUUAUUUUUUAAAUUGCAACGUUAGUUGUCUGCUCAACACUCACGGGUUUCAUGCCUCACCUAGAAGUAACUGCACAAUUCUAGGGCAUUCACAGGAACCUAUAGGUUUUGCCUACACUUGCCCCUGGCUGGCUGAUCUCCAAACCCUCUCCCUGGCUUCCUGCUGAGGGGGCUCUGGCUGCUCCUGCCACUCCUAUCCUGCUUCCCGCAAGCCCUUUUGCUUUGCUUUCUGCUCUUCCAGGCAGCUCCUCCCACACAGACGUGCUGGGCUCCACAGGGGUUUCUUUCACCUCAGGUGGAUCAGAACAUGUGUUCAUGUGACUUUUAUUCAUCCAUGUUUCACCUUCUCUAAAUUGCUUUGCUGUGAUAUUUGUCUAUUUUUAGUGACAUUUCCAUUUUAUCUGUCUUUUCUAUUUUUUUUUCUGAAAUCUAGAUUGUCCUUGCUAAUAUCUUUCCAUUGUUCCAUAUCCCUCUGCAAUUUUGCCUGUUGGAUUCUUCUUCUAACAAAGCACCUUAAAUAGCCAUUCAGGAGUUCAUAAAGUUAUGUGCUUUAUCAGAAUCCUAGAAACCUCAGCAAGUUCAGCACAUGAAAAUGCACUCACUCCCAAGCCAUUAGCAGAGUACACAUUGGAACUAGUUUCUCUUACACCCACCAGAAUAGGCACAUUAUCGGAGACAAAAGUGCAAAGGGUGGUGAGGAUAUGGAGGAGCUUGAACUGUCAUGUUACUCUGGGAACAUACUUAGUUUCAACCAUUUUGAUAAAUGGAUUUCUAGUGUGUACCACAGUCAUCAGCACCUGUAACCCUACAGCCCCACUCCUGCCACCUAUGUCCAGGAGACAUCUAUGAGCCAAGGAUGUUGGUGUCCACCUGGGGGACUUCACAGAAGCCUUGUUUCAAGCAACCAUCAUGAGAAACAGCAGAGUGAAUGUAAAAAAACACGGAUGAAUGAACUAGUUGUGCCAACUUUCAACAAUGUUACAUACUGACCCAGCAGUACAAAAUGACAGAUAUUUCAUCACGUGGAACACGGGUGAAAUUCACAUAUUCACAUAUAAUUUUCAACCAGACACAAAAGAGUAUAUACUGUAGGUUCGCAUUUAUAUGAUGUUUAAAAAUACAUUUAAAAUGUGUUGAUCAUGAUCAGAGUAGGUAUGACCUGGGGUUACUGCCUGGAAAUUAGCUGCAGAGGGACUGGCAGGGGGCUUACAUCUGGGUGGUGUAACACAGUGUUUGUAGGAAGGCAGCAGUCUGCGCAUGGCAUAUGUGUGCACUGCGCCACGGGUAAAACAACCAUCACCUAAAAACUAAUGCAUAUCAUAUCUUUCCACCAUGCAAACAUCCAUCCUUAUUGUCUCCUGAGGAGUCUAUCCACAUUUUAAGUAGAAGCAACUUCAAUUUUGUAUGUACAAGAACACGCUCACACUGCUCUCUUUUAACUGGGAAAAUCAUGAUAGCAAAUUAUGUAAAAGACAUGACAAGAAAGGUGGAUUAAAAGUCAAACUCUUUCAAAUACUGUUGCCAAAAUCCAACACAAUAUGUUAGCAAUCUUGAUUCCAAGGUUUUUUUUUUUUAAUUUUCCUUUGAGUUUGGGAUACGUGUGCAGAAUGUGCAGGUUAGUUACACAGGUAUACAUGUGCCAUGGUGGUUUGCUGCACCUAUCAACCUGCCAUCUAGGUUUUAAGCCCCACAUGCAUUAUUUGUCCUACUGCUCUCCCCUUGCCCCCUGCCCCUGACAGGCCCCAGUGUGUGAUGUUCCCCUCCCAUACUUAUAAGUAAGAACAUGCGGUGUUUGGUUUUCUGCUCCUGUUUGCUGAGGGUGAUGGCUUCCAGCUUUAUCAUUGUCCCUGCAAAGGACAUGAACUCACUCUUUUUUAUGGAUGCACAGUAUUCCAUGGUGUAUGUGUGCCACAUUUUGGUUUUGUAAAGGAAAGACUGGAGUUUUGAUACGGAUAUAAAUGUGGGAUGAGGACAGGAUCCCUACUGUUUAGGGUGCUGCUGGGGAGAGUGGUGAGAAGAGACAGAGCCCUCAGGUUAGAGGAAUGGACAUUUAAUUAGAAAUAGGACCUGGGUGGUCCUCAGGGACAGUCCUGGGGUGGGGUCUCCAGGCUGUAGCUGUGGAGAGUUCCCUCUAAGAGGAUAAGGGACUCUGUGCAUUGUCCCUGCGGGGCUUGGGAUGAAAUAGGAGUCUGAAGAUGCUGACCUUUGGUUUGGAAGAAAUGAACAGGAAGAAAGGUCCACUCUGUGCUGGUGCAGCCACUGCCCAUCCUCAGCCAGGCCUUAGUCCAGCUGCACAGACAGUGGCUCAGACCAAUAGUAAGUCAGGUGGGAAGCUCUAUAAACUAAGUUCAUCAAGCCACUGACACUCCAGCCCAGGCGCCCCUUAUCAGAUAAGGGCAUUAGCUGCUCACCCAGGGUUGGUCAAGUGGAGGGAAGCGAAGCGGUCAUGUGACAGUUUAGAAAGUUGCUUUCUAAUAUAGUUGGGUGUUACAAAGCCUUAUACAGUUAGGGGUUAGUUGGGUGCAGGGGUCCCUUGCUGCCAACUGAUCAUUGGAAAUGUGUAGCCCAUGGCAGCUGACUGUGACGCUGCUAUGAAAGGAUUGCCCUGUUUUGAAUCACCCUCGUCUUUCCAAGGGGCUUCGUUUGAGAUAAACCACAUCCUGUUUGGGGUCUGGGAUGGAAAGGAAGAGACAGAGACCGGGUCUUGUGUCCAAGCUCUCUUCUGGGCUCAGGCAUCUAUUCCAGGACAUCAGCCCUCCCACAGAAACCUUGGGCCAGGACGUCUCGAGGGUCAGGGGAGUUCAUGUUCUGGGGGGUCUAGAGCACGAUCUGGAGGUCUGGAGUGUGAAGACAUCUCUGACCCCGAGGCCUCAGGCAUGUUUCUGCCCCAGGUGCAUCACACAGCAGUGUGGUCACUGGAAAGACACGUGCCUUUAAGAGAAUUUCUUCCAACUGUGAAGUGCAGGCCAGAGCUCCUGCCAUGCCCACUUUCAGGGCUGAUGUGGGCAUCACAGGAGAUGGUCACAUAUAUUGUCCAUGCGCUGGAAAGCCUCCCACAGGCAAAUGAAGAAAAGCCAACUUCUACCCUCCCCUGCCCUGAAGCAUCCAUGCCCCCUCUCUGGUCACCCACUGUCAAGUGUGUAGCUUCUUCUCCCAGGCAUGUACUGAUGGAGGGAUCAUGGAGCAUUGAAGAAUCAGCCACUUUUUCUAAAGCUUUGACUCUGUUCAAGGAUCUUUGGCCUCAUCAUGCUAACCGGUCAGCCCUAUUAAAGUGUUUAGAUAGCAGUGCAGAGAACUGGAGGCUGAGGGGUUGCAGGAUGUUCCCCGGUUUUCGUGCCUCUAAGUGGGAUUGAGCCCAGGCCCUCAGGCCCCAGCCCCCAUGCUCAGUCACUCUGCUCAGCUGCCUUUCUGGACCAUCUCAUCAUUGAGGCAUUUUCCACACAACCUUUCCCUUAGGUGUUUCAAGUGCACGUGAGAACCCAAGAUCUUCCGAAAGCCCAGCGUUGGCUCAGAGGCUGUCGGGGAGUCAGUGCAGUGGGAUCCACCGUUUGAGCUCUGCAUCAAUUAUGGUUUCUUUCCUCUGGUCUUCUGCCAACAAGAUGUCAGCAGCUCUCUUUACUGUGAGUGCAUUUUUCAGGUUCUUAGCUGAUGAAUUUGAGGAGGAAAGCAUUUUCCUCCUGCAAGAAUCUAUACCACCCCAGACCAGCAGCAGGUCAAGGGGCCCCCGACUACAGGCACAGCUGCAGACGGUGAGCUGAGGGCACUGCAGAUACUCAGCCCUUAUGUUGAUUCAAGAAUAUGAUUCAGGUUUGUUCCAAAGUUGCAUAUUUAAAAUAAAGCAAUAAAAAUGCUAAGC